AAAAUAUUCCCUCUGUCCCAAACUACUUGUCUUAGAUUUGUAUAGAUACAAAUGUAUCUAACAAUAAAAUGUGUCUACAUCCAUCUGUAUCUAGACAAAUCUAAAACAAGUAAUUCAGGAUGGAGGGAGUAGACA
rfam:Triticum aestivum genome assembly, contig: Triticum_aestivum_CS42_TGACv1_scaffold_602885_7DL